GAGGAGAACAUUGACUUGAUGCCCUUCUUGGACGAAAAGAUAUGGUUAACGGCGGCGAGAGGCACCGCGACAGCGGAAUUGGAGGAAUUGGUCGAGUCAGAAAUCCAGACGAUGCGGUGAGUGGUGAGGAUGAUAAUGCCAGACUUCAGGAGAGGGAAAGUCGGAAUUUCAUCGCACUCGAGGUUGACGGAGGAGAGGAUUGAGCAUUCAAUUUCGUUUGGGAGCAGUACCGGACGGCCACUAGUAGUGAGUUCGGCCGCCGGC
rnacentral:misc_RNA from 1 species